AGUGAAGAAUGUGGAGAGUGGCCGGAGCACCCCGGGAGUGAAGCUGUUUUUUGGGCAUGAGAUCAUAAAUGUGGAACUACUGGACGAAGUGGAGCAAGGUGCAGCGUGGGAAAAGACAUCUUCCAUUAGUCUAACCACUGAGAGAGACAGGAUGGAUAAAAUGAAAGAUGAAGACCUAAACAUAUGUGAACCUGUAUCACCUCCACCCGAGGCGCUGACUACCUCUCUGCUCAGUGAUCUCAAAUACAGUC